rnacentral:ncRNA from 15 species
GUUCAAAUGAUGAAUUCUUUUGUUCAACUGCUAAGUGAUAGAAACAUGAACUGAAAUGAAUUCUGAUAGAA